ACAUCUCUUGCCAAUCCCCCCUCAAAAUCUGAAAUCCCCAAAUUUCCUUUCACCCUCUCCCUUCCUGCCCCUCCCUCCUCACUCCUACCCCUCCUUCCUCGCUCCUCAAGCCGUCGCCGCUGCCCACAGCAUCUCCACCCGUCGCCGCCGCCCACAGCGCCUCCCCCCGUCGCCGCCGCCCUCUGAGCUCGACCAUUUCCAUGGUUAAGUAUCUCAUUUUUUUGGUGGGAAUAUUUGGAAUAUAUAUAAGAAAAAAGGAGAUUAGGGGAAGAGAGGAAGUCUCUUUCCCUUCCUCCUCCAGCUCACUACUUGCGCGUAGACCCCAUAUCUCCUCCAUCACAUAGACCCAUCCAGAAAACAAAAAACACUGAAAACAAAGCAAAAAACACUGAAAUAAGAAUUUGCAUAUGCGCCCAGCCCAGGCCAACCCACCCCGGAACUCUCCUCUGAUUGUGUCAUCGGCUUCCAAGCCCGUUGUGCAUCCUGUUGGUUGUAGGUUUGGCUUUACCCGUAAGUAAGUAGAGAAGACUCCGCCUCAGAAGGAGUAUUGUAAAUGGCGUCGCUCAACCUGGUUAGAUGAGCAUUUAGUGAAUCCUCAAGUGGGUUAACUUGAGGUAGGGACGUGGGCACGGUUGUUGAAUUUUGAUAAAAACCAAGUGUCACUCUUUCCAUAUACUCUUUAUUUUUUUUUUGUAUUUACCUGCUUAUAUUUAUCCGUUGGUAUUACUGCUUGUGUGUUUUAAAUGUUAAUUUAUGUUUAAUCGUGAAAUACUGGAACUAUGAUACUUAUAUUAAUCAUUCUUAUGUCAA